rnacentral:rRNA from 1 species
UACGUAGGAGGCAAGCGUUGUCCGGAAUUACUGGGCGUAAAGCGCGUGUAGGCGGUCUGAAUAGUCUGCUGUGAAAGCGCCUGGCUUAACCGGGCGAGGUCGGCGGAAACUCUCAGACUGGAGGCCGGUAGAGGGGGGUGGAAUUCCCGGUGUAGUGGUGAAAUGCGUAGAGAUCGGGAGGAACACCUGUGGCGAAGGCAGCUCGCUGGGACGUGACUGACGCUGAGACGCGAAAGCGUGGGGAGCAAACAGG